rnacentral:lncRNA from 1 species
GGGGCCUUAUAAUUUCAAUUUCCUAUAUUGCAGGCAGUUAUUCCAUGCCUUGCUUGAAAGUAUACAAAUGCUAUUGCCUGCAACAAUUCAUGGAGAAUGCAGACUUUAAGUGACUCAAAUCAUAAACUAACUCAUUAAAUGUUGUACACUGCAACUCCAAUAUAGAUGCUUAAAAUAAUUAUAAGGAGAGCCGGAACCAAGUUGGUCAGCAAGGGGGUUUCAUGCUUGGUAGUUAGUUUUGGUCACAUGCCAUUAUAACUCUCGCAGGAACUUCUGUGACUCUGCGGAAGAAUACUUUGAAUCAUAUCCCUAGUCAUCUCCAUUGCGAGCUACGACUAACAAAGUACUCGUAAUCAGGAUGCUUGACCUGCAAACUCUGUAGUCAAUCAGCAGCAGCCUGCAAUAGAGUUUGCAUGCUUCGAUUCAGAGGCCCCAUCAGGAGAAAAAACUGAGCCGCUAUACUUGUAAGAAGCAAACCCAAAAAUGGGAAGAGAUAUGUUUAAGGAUCUAUCAACACCUUGGACCUUCCUGCCACUAGAAG